ACGAACGCUGGCGGCGUGCUUAGCACAUGCAAGUCGAACGGAAAGGCCCUGCUUUUGUGGGGUGCUCGAGUGGCGAACGGGUGAGUAACACGUUAGUAACCUGCCCUUGACUUUGGGAUAACUUCAGGAAACUGGGGCUAAUACCGGAUAGGAGCUCCUGCUGCAUGGUGGGGGUUGGAAAGUUUCGGCGGUUGGGGAUGGACUCGCGGCUUAUCAGCUUGUUGGUGGGGUAGUGGCUUACCAAGGCUUUGACGGGUAGCCGGCCUGAGAGGGUGACCGGCCACACUGGGACUGAGAUACGGCCCAGACUCCUACGGGAGGCAGCAGUGGGGAAGAUUGCACAAUGGGCGGAAGCCUGAUGCAGCAACGCCGCGUGCGGGAUGACGGCCUUCGGGUUGUAAACCGCUUUCGCCUGUGACGAAGCGUGAGUGACGGUAAUGGGUAAAGAAGCACCGGCUAACUACGUG
rnacentral:rRNA from 1 species